UCCGAUAGGCCACGGCCAUGUGGUACUGGCUCAUGGCACGGUACUUCAGGCUCCAGCCCUUCCCGUAGUCAUUCACCAGCUCAGCAGCUUUACACGGGAAAAACAAGGCUUUCUCGUAGUCCUGUAAGGCAUACAAGCACACAGACAGCAGUCACAGCAAAAAUAAAGCAAAAAGGAGAGAAGGAAAAAGAGCAGCUAUUUUUUAUUUACUAAUACUGCAACAGUUACCAGAUUUCUGUACAUCUUUAAACUUGUGCUGCUCGUCUUCCACGUGCAGUAUUUUGGUGGAUAUCAAAUUGUGAAAGAUGGAAUAGCCACAUACUGAAUUCUUAUUUUUCUCUGGGUUCAGGACACUGGAGCAAUGACCCAGCAAACGAAUUUGAUGUAGUAUGCCAUUAACUUUAUUCUGCAGGAACCAUUUGCCCUCCUCUAUAAGCAGAGGCUGAAAACUUUCUCUGCUCUUACAUCAUCUCUACUUGUAACAUCUACAUGGAGCCUUCAUUUUCUCUAAAUGGUGAGUUUGGAUCUCCAAGAGGCUCAUUAUCCAUCACUGCAGGAAAUGGGAACUAAGACUCAUGGCCUCCUCAAAUUCACAAAAAGUAAUAAUACAUUUUAAACUUUUUUUUUUUGCAUUAAAAGCAUGUUAGAAAUAAAUCUUAUUUUACAAUAAUUAUGUAAAACUUAUCUUAAUAUCUAAAACCAUUCUCAAGUAAGUUAUAUGAGAUCUCAGAAGUGAAAAAGUCCUCAUAUUUCUUUUCAUUCUCCACAAUGCAGAGAGGAAACCACAGCUUUUCAAAUUUCCUUUCUCCCUUCUUUUUUCACACCUGAAAAGUAUUCAGCACAAUGUUAUUUUCUUUAUAUUUGGUCACCACACUUCAUGUGAUUAUCUUCUAUGAGUGAAGAAAUCACUCCUUGUGAGAAGAACCUAUUAUUUGCUGUUUGUACCUGAAGUUAGAGCUGGCAAAUCACCUCUGUGCUCAAUCCCUGCCUGGUUUUACCUACAGCUUGCUGGCAGCUAUUUGCCUACAAUGGUGGUAGAAAUAGAGAAUCCCUGAGUUUUGGCUGCCAGCCGUGUGUCUCUGAUGUGAUCUUCUUUGAAGCUAAGUUUGAUCUCUUCCACACGCAUAUUCACAGCUGCUUCUGCUGUGCUGUGUAAACAUGACACUAAUCCUCCCAUCCUUACUGUGGAGGAGAGUACUCCAUUUGGAUUUUACAAAGGGAUUUUAGCUUACAAUGCUCUUCACUUCCUAUAGGGAAGACAAAGGCUGAAAUCCACGUGAUUUCAAUGCUUCCCUGAAUCUGUGGGACAAUCACCCUCCUGUCCCUUAGGUUAGUGUACCUUUAUCUGGGUGUAGAAGUUCCCCAGGCUGCAGCAGACUCGACACUCCAGCAUCUUGUCAUCGUUGUUGUGUGCGUAGCGUAAAGCUUUCUCAAAGCACUCCAAAGCCUUCUGGAAAAUGCUGAGGCCCAAGAAGGCGUUGCCCAUGCUGAGGCUCACCUGGCCAUUCAGCUGCAUGCUCACAGUGGUACCCUGCAUGUUCAGGCAUGUCUUACAGUAAGAGAUGGUUUUCUGGAAUUCACAAAGUUUCUCAUUGCUGCGAGCCAGGUUUAGGUAGCUCUCUGUAAGGAAAUCUGGGUUUUCCAGCUCCCGUGCUGUGUCAAUCUGGACCACUGCAAACUUAGAGUAGAGAAGAUAGUGUUUACAAAAGUGUGUAGUUUAUUUAAAUACAGCUCAAGCACCCACAGAGUAGCAGCCUGUGCUGGAGAAAGAGGCUCAUCUCUGAGCAGGGCAGACAAGGCCAUCAGCACAUGGAGAAGCAUUGUAAGCACUGAGCAGUUAUCUGGGGGUUUAAAAGGCCUGUGAAGACUCAGAAGAAACGUCUCCCUCUCUUCACACAGUCUCUGGGCAGGGAAGAUGAACUAGACUGGCUGUAAGGGGAAAACAGCUGUUAAAUGGCCCGAAAGGGAAGCUGGUGAAGCAGGAAACAUCUGACACAAUGCAGUUCUGUUUUCUUCCACUCAUUGUAAUGUAUCCCACUUUCUCUGGAAUUCCUAAGCUAUUAAAAUAAUCUAUUAAUAGAAAAAAGUAAGCUACUUCUUUAAGGAAUUUUCUACUAAUAAAUUGCAGUCUUGAUUUUGACAGUCUUGGUUCUAUAACCUCCAGAAUUUGUUGCAUACUGUUCUCUUAAAUGAAGUCUCUUUCAAGCUGCAAACUCUUCUAAGCAGUAACUCUUAUGCUCUGUGAUGAAGCAAGCACAAGCAUUCAAGCUGGCUUGAAUUAGUAUCAGUAGCAAAGGUGAAUAGUUAACAAUUUUCAUUAGACAUUAUCAGUUAGGAUUAUGGAUUGCAAAUUCCAAAGGAAUCAAUUACUUCCUUUUUAUAUUGUGGCUACACAUAAUAAUUUAGGCUACUAGAACAUUUUACAUUAUUUGGAAAUAAAAACAAAACCAAACAAAAAACCCACACCCCCCCCCAAAAAAAAAACCCCAACAAAACAAAACAAAACAAAAACUCACAAAAAACCCCAAACAAAAUCUCGAAACAUCACCAACCAUAAAUUGUAUAUGUUGGGUUUGUAAUUAUCUUCUCAGUUUCCAUUCCAGUUUAGGAAAGCUUCUAUGUGGACUCAGUGAUGUACACUAGCUCACGCUUCCUCACAUUCCCUUAACUUUGCACAAGUUCUUCAGUAUUUCCUGAUUGCCACAGCCUCUUUGUGCAAAGUACGUUUUCCUCUCCAGAACAGGUUGAGCAUCACAACCCUUCUUAAAUCACUUUUCAUUUCAUGGCUUUAAUUCUGACCAUUUUUCUCCUGAUAUUUCCUCUCUCAAUGGCUUAUUGCUAAAGUUCUCCUUUCGCUAUCCUUUCACCAGUUGCUCUGUAAAAUCUUUAGUCUGACUGAAGUAAUUUUUCCUUCCUAAUACUGUGGAGAACUAAAAUUUACGUACUCUGAUCCCACUUUCUUUUCUCUUCUCAGGUAAGGAAUUAUGUUUGGGUAUACUAAGCUCACUCUUUUGCCUUUUUUUUCCCAUGAAAUCUUCAGUAUUUCCUUCUUGCCCUUUUUUCUUCUUUCCUCCCCAGUCAGUUUGUUGUUUUUGCCAGCAACUAAUUUCACACCACUUAACAGAAUUGUCUUCAAAUGUUUUCCAAGUGUAUUAAUACCUCUCCCUUCUUCUUCAUCCUAAGUACUUGGUUUCAAUAUAGGGCUUUGACACGUGCAUGGCUUUACCAGUAAGGUGUGCUCCUCUCCCCGCUCCAAUUCCAAACAGAGCUACCAAAAACUUUUCAAUGAGAUGUAGACACUUCUUUCACCUUUUGUUCUAAAUGCUGAAUGAUAGGCAGUCUAGUAAGAGGCAACCCAAAACAUCAGGACAAGAAUAUCAAAGCCCUUUAGUAAGACCCUAUUUCAGGCUGGGAUAGUUUCUUAAGACUAUUACAACACUCUCUUGCCUUGUCCUACAGAUCCUUGAGUUGCCCUCCCAAAUGCUGCCUGCUGCUCUCUGUAUACAUCCUCUUACUUCUCAGAUCCAUACCCCAGCUUCUUUUUUUUUCAUUUAAUUAAACUCUUUAUCCUUGUGUGCUGGCAAUGUAACUUCAGCUGUUUUUUACCACUCUUCCAUCAAGCCUCACAUCCUUCCUUCUUUCUUCUAUACUGUCCUGACAACUGGAAGCUGCUCUCUGAGCUCAACUGUGAGACAUCUGGGAUGUCUCAAUUACCUCACCAAAACAGCAUCUUCUUUUCCUCUCUAAAUCAGCCCCCUGGCAAACAAAUAAUUGUAAUUAGAAACCCCCAAUAUAAGAUAUAUACUAGAUAUCAGCCAGAAGCUGAACAAGAUAACAGACAUGUCUCUACAAGAGAGAUACUUAUUCUACAGAAUCCACUUGGAAUUCUCCUUUUAUGCUGACAUACAGACUGUAAACAGCUUGUAGUUGACAAAGGCCCUGCUCUCAUACCUUUUCUUGAAGCCUGAUAACGUGGUGUGCCUGUAUGUGGGAAAUAAUCAAGACAGCUUCCCAUGAAUAACUGAAGAACUUCAAUAACCCAGGAAUCCUGAUGAACCAGAUCCAGUGAAAAAUCAGAUUCUGUCUAUCUUGUGAGCUGGAGCUCUUGGUGAGCACCGUGAUCACAGCAGUCCAGAACAUGCACUCAAUAGCUGGUAUUUUCUGUUACACACAAAACACCCCCCACUUCAGGUUCUGAUCUCCAGCCACGUUCCAUCGUGGGUGCGACACAAUGGCAUGCAUUCAUCUCCAGUUCACCUUACCUUCAGCAUGUCUUUGUAUCUGCCCAUCUCUGCGUGAGCAGUGAUGAGGCAACCCAAAACCCGAAACCUGCCAGCAGGAUCCGCAGACUUCUCCAAAACCCUCAUCCAGACUCGCAGGGCCUUUUCGGUCUGAUUAGAUUGGUAAAGAUGGAGUCCUUUCUCUAUCUGCUGCUUUGUCUGGUCCUGACCCAUCUCCCAUGGAUUAAAAAGCCUCAUACACUAACCUCUAAGGAUAGCAAAAAGGACGUGCUUACAAGAGAACACAACGUAAAAUGCCCCACUAGAAGAGGGCAGGUUGUGUGCUCAGAGGGCCCAGAGCCGUAAGAGCCCAGCCAUGUCAGGGGGCUGGAGCUGUGGUAGGCAAUGGCAAGAAGUGGUUGCUCAGCACUGAAGGCAGAAUCCCAAAUCCACUAGGCAAACAUCUUGCUUGCUAGGGCUCCAUCAGUGCAUUCGUCUGUCCAAUCCCGUAAACAAAGAGCAAAAGCACGACAGAGAGAGAAAGAGAAAAAUCUCAAGCCUCAGGAGUGAAACUCAAUCUGGACAGCCAGUGCUGGUCUCCUCCCUAUUGGCUGCAGCUGCUCCUGCCAGUCCAGCUCACGUGGCUCCCAGGAAUUCUAGUCAGGCUCCCCAGCUCCCAAGGUCACGGUGCCAACUGCCCACCCCUGCCCGCCAGUAUGCAGCUUAUAAAUACCCCAGGGAGAGACAAUUGGCUGCAGUCACAGCCGCAGGAUGCCGCGGCUGUCUCUUUCCUCUCUGGCCAUCCCCUUAGACAAGCACUGCUGGUGGUGGGCUAGCUUGGGAGGAAGCAGACUCAGCUGGAAUACUAGCUUUAGAAAAAAUAUAUGCCUUAGAAGUCAGGUGUGAACAAGGCAACUUCAGUGUGUGCACACGUGCAGUGUUACACUUGAAAAAAUGUACUUGAUAUUUUGCUAGGCACAAAUCAGCCUCCCUUUUGAGGACCUCAUUUGGCAUCAUGGACUUUUUUUAUGGACAUAGGUCAGCUCUGUCACAGAUUUGCUGCAAACACACCUCUGACUUCCUAAUUUUAGGGACAAGGAGCUAACCAUCCUGGAAACCUUUAUUCUUGACUGAAUGUCGCUCCCUGUCAUCAGAUGAAAGUGGCAGUCCUCCAAAAGUUUCCAACAGAAGUCAACAGCACUGUUUAAAUUCUGCAGCCAGAAUUUGACAAUCUUUUAUGAUGAAUAACAAUAAAGACACAGAACAAGAGGUAUCUGCACUUUUUGGUUGCAGGAGAGAAGUAUUAGCCCCAUUAAAAGAUACGUUUAUGUCUCCCACACUGCAGACUGGCUCCUCCAUGAGUCACAUUUAAUACUCUCACCAGUGUGCUGCAGCCUUGUUGGUCCAGAGAUUUAUUCAGUCCUUCUUAAGAAGACAGAGCAAACCCAGGGGGAGGGGAGCAGGUGGAGAAUACUACAGGGAUAUUGAAUGUUUUUCAGAUGUAGAAGUUCCAAGAACCAGUUUUGUGAUCCUUUUACUGGGCAAAGAGAAGCAAUUUGAAGUUUUAACAGACCUGCCUGCAAUACCAGUCAUGUUUCCAGCUGCCUCCCUGAUUCUUGGUGAAUUUGGUAGCCGUUCUUCCCCAAGCAAAGGUCAAUACCUACAGAAUCACCUCAAAGGGUACCAAUAGAACUAUCUUGGUCUGUCAACAAAAACCCAAGGGAGCCUUCCUCAGGUAAUAUCCUUAAGAAAAGCAGGAUGCAAAAUAAGGAAUGAUUGUCUACCGAGAGACUUUACAUCAUAGCAGUUACAAUCUUAAAGGAUUACAUCUGCCUUUAUCCAAAAUUCCCUCAAAAAAGUAUUUCAAAAUACUUUUGGGAGCUCAUAUACACUAUGAUAUUUGCAUUAUUUAACUUAGCUUUGUCUUUCAGAGAUGUAAUGUGCUAGAUGGUAGUUCAGCAGAGACUGUAUGUAGUCUCAAACUCUGGAAGUAGAAACUAUGGAAAAAUCUACAGAAGCUGAAGAAAACUAAUGAUGUAGGUGAUGGGAUGGAAACAAGAUGCAGAAGAUCAGACCCCAUGGAAAGCAUUGACAAUAGUGAGGCCAUUCAGAUUUCUAGACUUGGAGAAGUUAAGAGGCCACAAAAGCAGCCACUUGGAGCCUGCUCCGUAACAGAAUCAAGCCAGGACUCAGGUAUGGGGAAAACAAAAAUUAUAUCAUUCUUGGUAGGUCAGACUAUUUUGCAACAUUAACCUUCCACAAGUGAGCUGUCUGUAACUCAAACUCAUCCCAAGAUUGUUUUGGACCAUGUCAGUAAAGCACUGCUCCCUUCCUCACACAGCACAGCCAAAAUGAAGAGGGUGCCUUGCAGCCUGACAAAACCCAUCUAACAGGACAUGAUCUACACUGCAUUUUGUUAACCUCACUUUGCCUCCUUGCUUUUGAGCACUAUGACAGUGCUCAGUUUCUCAGGAAUCAAUUCGCAACUCACCUGUUGAGAUAAAAACACCCUAGUAAAAUAAGGGCUAAAUCCAUCAAGUUCAAAUGGGUCAUUUUCAAAAAACCACAACAUGCUCUAAUAUGGAACACACCACUCUGAGCCCAGCUGCAGCUGCCUAAAUAAGGAGGGAUAACAGAUCAACACUGCCUGCCUGUGCUACUUCAAAAAAAGCAAUGGCAUCUGUUUGUGGCUCAAGAUAGCUGUAAUUCAUUCAAGAUUCAGGUACAGCUUCUACAGUUAAUAAUCCACAGUUUCUCCUCAGGAAGUGCAAAUAAAUGAGCCUGAAUGGUGCUUGGCAACAUCAAAUAAGGGAACCUUACCUGUCAUAUAUGCAGUGUGGCUCAUCAGGCACUCACUUCUUCAGAGAGACCUCACUGACCUGCUUCUCCUCCUCCCCCCUGCUCUCCAUAAUGCCCCCGGUGACUCCUGGAUGUAUGAAGAGAGCAGAACGUGGCAGGUGAAGUGAGCAAGACUGGAGUAAAAACACAUAGUGAAAGGUGGAGGUGGAUAUGAGAGGAAAAAGGUUUCUCCUAGAACAUUCAGCAUCAGGAUUUCAUCUGCAACUUUGUGCAUUUCCUACAAAUGCUGUUAAAUGUAACCACUCGUGUGAAAAUGCUGAUUAUUUUCAGAGAUUAAUGUACUGGCUCUUAGGUGCAGUUUGAUUGUGUACAGAUUGGUGGUGGCCUUUUAAGUUGAAGAAAAAGCCUUAAAAAAUAAAAAAAACUCCUGCGACCCAAGAGUGAUCUGGUGUCAGUUCUGUAAGAUGUAGCUGGCAGAGCUUUGAUUGUGUAAGACAAGGUGAGUGAAAUUUGUGCACAAGCUGGAAUCUUCCAUUCAGCCUAAACAAACUCUUUUUCUCAUUCAAUUGUUUCUCUCCAUCCUUGGCCUCAAGUUGUAUAUAAACUGAAAUCCCUCCAGCCUCUCUCCUCAACAGCUGCAAAUUAACUGCGGGGAUCCCAGCACAGUCUGUAACAGGUGGCUCUGUGCCUCGUGCCGCAAUUGGUGCGCUCAGGGCAAGGAAUGCAGCACUGAAUCCUGAUGCUUUGCAAGGGCUCUCGGAUUUACAAUCAUGUAGGAAGUGAUGGGGUGAAACAGAGUAUCCCAGAUAACACAGGAAAAUUACAUGGAGGAGAAACAUAGUGGUGCUAAAAACACUUGCAAGUCUCCAAGAUGCAAGACAGCAGAAGGAAGGAAUAACAUCAGGGAAUUUUAGGAGCUUUCAGAAAUGCAGCAAAAUCAAGGCCAUUGUGAUACUUUCCUUCUGAGAGAGGCAAUAUUCGUGUCAAGCUUGUGGCAGGCUUCUAAAUGCUUUGGCUAUGCCGAAUACUUUUUAUUAAUUUGAAGUGAGUCAUCAUAAAAGAUCUCAGUUCUAAGAGCAAAGCAGGUAGCCUUUGCUUAUCACUAGCAAGUAAUCCAAAUCCAUUUGCAGUUUCCCUGUGCAGCACUUCCAGGAUGAGGAGCACUGAGGGCUGCCUUGAUGGUACCUUGAUGCUGCAGAACCAGGACAGAUUCAGGCAGCUUGACUGUGGGGGAAGCUGGAAGGGGAAGGAGGCGAUGGCAAGUGUGCAGCUUGUGAGUGGCAUAAGCUGGUGCCUCUCUAAUCCCACACAGCACCACCACUGGUGCUGCUCCUGCAGAGCUGAGGGCUGCUGCUCUGCCCAAGCUACUGAGCCCCUGAAACAGCCUGAAGCACAAGUGCAUGGACAGGCAAGAGGCCGCAUGGCACCAGUUCUGUGAGGCUGCAUAUGCCUACUCCUCACCCCCAAGUGUUGCACAUAUUUGCAUUAUCCAAGAUCCUCAGCUCUUCCGUAUCUAAAGGGGACUUGACUGUCAAAUGAUCAAAAUGGAUGUAUAUCAACCAGAAAACCUCUUCAAUUUCUACUCAGAGUAGCCAUUUACACAGAAGUAAAAGUCAAGUGGUAUUGGGCCAUGAAUAUCUUUGUGUCUCACAACUAAGAAACUGUAAAAUAGUUCUCUCAUCUUUCUCUUCAUGUUCUCACACUUGGACCCCAAAAAGAACCUCAAGUUUAAGACACAAAUACAACACACAAGGACUCUUCUCAAACAGUUUAAUAGCAAAUAAACAAAGGAAGGUACCACACUUGGCAUAUACAAAAUGACUUGUUGUCGGUGUGUCUGUGCAAUUAAAACAGCUUUAAGUUGCCCUUUGGGACAAAAAGAAAAAAAACACACACACAAAAGGAAGAAAAUUCCUUUAACACAUACUCGCUUGUUCCAAACUUGUAACAAAUCUUUUCAUUUUUAAAUCCACUACACAAACUCUGUGAUCAGAUCAGAAAAGCAACAUGCGCUCCUCUGCUUUUUAAACCAUUAAAGUAAAAUCUGUAAUUCUCUACAGAGUACAACACAAUUUCACACAAAAAGACAUUUUGUUUUGCAAAUCAAAACAAGAAAAAAAAAGAACAGCUCAAACAAGGUAAAGAAAAGCAUUUCUACGACUGAACCACGACUUCGAGUUGAUUAAAUCCCGUUAACUGCAGAACAGACUCUACAUUUGGUCAUAGUGGCAAUUUGUUUUCUCGUCACAUUGUGAAUCACUUUACAUUGUUUUCUAGUAGAAAAGGCAAAAAACUGUACAAAACCCCUAGUGUUAAAUACAAUGUUUGUACCAAUAAAAAAGCCCACAGGUUUGUCUCCAAAAUGUAAAUUUUCUUUUUAAAUUAUUCACAAAAAGCAGCCAAAAAUCAGAAAGGCAGCUGCUGCUCCACUGUCUCAAAUCCAUUAAAACCACCACAGAACAAUUAAAACAACCAAAGGAAGAAAAGGAAGGAAGAAAGGAAAGAAACACCCAACAUUUGGCAUUUUGGUUUUCUUCAGAUAUUUUUCCACAGGUUUCCCCAAGGUUCCUUACGGAACCAAACGCACACGUACAGAAACGUACUGGCAGCUCCUCCACACACUGCAGGCCAUCAGUGCCCCCUGGCACACAGCCCUGUGCAUUCAGACUGUGGGACUAACAGCAGCCAGCCCCCAACCCUACUUCCCAAAUAAAUGAGUCUCUACCCUUUUUCAUUCAGCCUCACGAUUCACUCCCAAGGUACAUGUAUCAUAUUCAAAUUGUUCUCUUUUGUAAGCAGAUUAAGGACUGUCUACACAAGUCUGGUCAACACCUAGUGAGAAUACAGUAUCCUCAACCAACUCAGGAGUAGGACAGAAAACAAUCUUUGCAUCUUUACAUUAUCCCAAACACUGGACAAAAUGAAGAUUUCUAUCCAGUCAAACUCUACUUG